rnacentral:rRNA from 1 species
GACGGAGGGUGCAAGCGUUGCUCGGAAUCACUGGGCGUAAAGGGUGCGUAGGCGGCUCAGUAAGUCAGGUGUGAAACCCCCGGGCUCAACCCGGGGACGCCACCUGAUACUGCUGUGGCUAGAGUCCGGUAGGGGAGCGUGGAAUUCCUGGUGUAGCGGUGAAAUGCGCAGAUAUCAGGAGGAACACCAGCGGCGAAGGCGGCGCUCUGGGCCGGUACUGACGCUGAGGAGCGAAAGCGUGGGGAGCGAACAGG